UGGCGGACGGGUGAGUAACGCGUGAGGAGCUGUCCUAUGCAGGGGGACAACAGUUGGAAACGACUGCUAAUACCCCAUAAGCCGAGAGGUAAAAGGAUUUAUCCGGCAGAGGAGGUACUCGCGUCCUAUCAGCUAGUAGGUGAGGUAACGGCUCACCUAGGCGAAGACGGGUAGCCGGCCUGAGAGGGCGAACGGCCACACUGGAACUGAGAUACGGUCCAGACUCCUACGGGAGGCAGCAGUGGGGAAUAUUGGGCAACGGGGGGAACCCUGACCCAGCGACGCCGCGUGGGUGAAGAAAUCCCUCGGGAUGUAAAGCCCUGUUGUAUGGGAAGAGCAGAAGACGGUACCAUACGAGGAAGCCCCGGCAAACUACGUGCCAGCAGCCGCGGUAAUACGUAGGGGGCAAGCGUUGUCCGGAAUUACUGGGCGUAAAGCGCACGCAGGCUGAAUUAUAAGUCGGUAGUAAAAGGCGGGGGCUCAACUUCCGUAUAUCUAUCGAUACUGUAAAUCUAGAGUAUGUGAGA
rnacentral:rRNA from 1 species